rnacentral:rRNA from 1 species
UACGAAGGGAGCUAGCGUUGUUCGGAAUUACUGGGCGUAAAGAGAGCGUAGGCGGUUUAACAAGUCAGGCGUGAAAGCCCCGAGCUCAACUCGGGAAUAGCGCUUGAGACUGUUUUUCUAAGAGUACGGGAGAGGUGAGUGGAAUUUCCAGUGUAGCAGUGAAAUGCGUAGAUAUUGGAAGGAACACCAGUGGCGAAGGCGGCUCACUGGCCCGUGACUGACGCUAAGGCUCGAAAGCGUGGGGAGCAAACAGG